rnacentral:rRNA from 1 species
GUCGAACGGAGUUCAAUUGGGAGCUUGCUCCCGGCUGAACUUAGUGGCGGACGGGUGAGUAAUGCAUGAGCAACCUGCCUUCAGGAGGGGGAUAACAUCGGGAAACCGGUGCUAAUACCGCAUAGAGCAUUUUGCAGGCAUCUGCGAGAUGGGAAAGGAGCAAUCCGCCUGGAGAUGGGCUCAUGUCUGAUUAGAUAGUUGGUAGGGUGACGGCCUACCAAGUCUGCGAUCAGUAGCCGGACUGAGAGGUCGAACGGCCACAUUGGAACUGAGAUACGGUCCAGACUCCUACGGGAGGCAGCAGUGGGGAAUAUUGGGCAAUGGGCGAAAGCCUGACCCAGCGACGCCGCGUGAGGGAAGAAGGUCUUCGGAUUGUAAACCUUUGUCAACAGGGACGAAAACAAUGACGGUACCUGUGGAGGAAGCCACGGCUAACUACGUGCCAGCAGCCGCGGUAAUACGUAGGUGGCGAGCGUUAUCCGGAUUUACUGGGUGUAAAGGGUGAGUAGGCGGGAAGUCAAGUCAGAUGUGAAAUGCCGCGGCUUAACUGCGGAACUGCAUUUGAAACUGAUUUUCUUGAGAGUCGGAGAGGCAAUCGGAAUUCCUAGUGUAGCGGUGAAAUGCGUAGAUAUUAGGAGGAACACCAGUGGCGAAGGCGGAUUGCUGGACGACAACUGACGCUGAGA